rnacentral:rRNA from 1 species
ACGCUGGCGGCAGGCCUAACACAUGCAAGUCGAGCGGUAGCAUAGGAGAGCUUGCUCUCUGGGCGACGAGCGGCGGACGGGUGAGUAAUGCCUGGGAAACUGCCUGAUGGAGGGGGAUAACUACUGGAAACGGUAGCUAAUACCGCAUGACCUCGCAAGAGCAAAGUGGGGGACCUUCGGGCCUCACGCCAUCGGAUGUGCCCAGAUGGGAUUAGCUAGUAGGUGGGGUAAUGGCUCACCUAGGCGACGAUCCCUAGCUGGUCUGAGAGGAUGACCAGCCACACUGGAACUGAGACACGGUCCAGACUCCUACGGGAGGCAGCAGUGGGGAAUAUUGCACAAUGGGCGCAAGCCUGAUGCAGCCAUGCCGCGUGUGUGAAGAAGGCCUUAGGGUUGUAAAGCACUUUCAGCGAGGAGGAAGGCGUUGCAGUUAAUAGCUGCAGCGAUUGACGUUACUCGCAGAAGAAGCACCGGCUAACUCCGUGCCAGCAGCCGCGGUAAUACGGAGGGUGCAAGCGUUAAUCGGAAUUACUGGGCGUAAAGCGCACGCAGGCGGUUUGUUAAGUCAGAUGUGAAAUCCCCGAGCUUAACUUGGGAACUGCAUUUGAAACUGGCCAAGCUAGAGUCUUGUAGAGGGGGGUAGAAUUCCAGGUGUAGCGGUGAAAUGCGUAGAGAUCUGGAGGAAUACCGGUGGCGAAGGCGGCCCCCUGGACAAAGACUGACGCUCAGGUGCGAAAGCGUGGGGAGCAAAC